AGAGUUUGAUCCUGGCUCAGAUUGAACGCUGGCGGCAGGCCUAACACAUGCAAGUCGAGCGGUAGAGAGAAGCUUGCUUCUCUUGAGAGCGGCGGACGGGUGAGUAAUGCCUAGGAAUCUGCCUGGUAGUGGGGGAUAACGUUCGGAAACGGACGCUAAUACCGCAUACGUCCUACGGGAGAAAGCAGGGGACCUUCGGGCCUUGCGCUAUCAGAUGAGCCUAGGUCGGAUUAGCUAGUUGGUGAGGUAAUGGCUCACCAAGGCGACGAUCCGUAACUGGUCUGAGAGGAUGAUCAGUCACACUGGAACUGAGACACGGUCCAGACUCCUACGGGAGGCAGCAGUGGGGAAUAUUGGACAAUGGGCGAAAGCCUGAUCCAGCCAUGCCGCGUGUGUGAAGAAGGUCUUCGGAUUGUAAAGCACUUUAAGUUGGGAGGAAGGGCAGUAAAUUAAUACUUGC
rnacentral:rRNA from 1 species